CUCUUGUAUAUUUGCAGACAGCCAGGCUCUCAAAGAUUGGUGGAUAUGACUUAAAGAGCUGUUUAAGCAGCAUCGUGGACAGGCUCAUGACAAAUGAAUUAAUGUCCAAUCUGAACAUGAAGAGGAGGGGGGAAAAACUGCCUUUGCCGAGACGAAGCUGCUCGAUGUAGUCACAGCUAGUGUCUUAGAUACCCAGAAGGGGACCGAAACGAUGGUCCAUGAUGCCAUAAAAAAAUGAACUGAAAUAUGCCCCUGGACAGAAGGGAGGAAUAGGUUGGGCAUCACAGGCUAAAUAAAUAAUUAUAUCGAUUGACAUUCUCCAUUUUCUUUGUACUUAAUUUUAAUUUUGCAUUAACAGGAUUCAGCCUGGAGCUAUAAAUGCGCUAUGUUUUGUUGUCUUUAAUUAUAUUGAUGUAUUG